rnacentral:rRNA from 1 species
CGUGAGAGGUGGUGCAUGGCCGUCGUCAGUUCGUACUGUGAAGCAUCCUCGUUAAGUCAGGCAACGAGCGAGACCACGCCCACAGUUGCCAGCGUACUCUCUCGGAGUGACGGGUACACUGUGGGGACCGCCGCUGCUAAAGCGGAGGAAGGAAUGGGCAACGGUAGGUCAGUAUGCCCCCGAAUAUCCCGGGCUACACGCGAGCUACAAUGGUUGGUACAAUGGGUAUCUACCCCGAAAGGGGACGGGAAUCUCCUAAAACCAAUCUUAGUUCGGAUUGAGGGCUGCAACUCGCCCUCAUGAAGCUGGAAUCCGUAGUAAUCGCGUUUCAACAGAACGCGGUGAAUACGUCCCUGCUCCUU